UACGUAGGGUGCGAGCGUUGUCCGGAUUUAUUGGGCGUAAAGAGCUCGUAGGCGGUUUGUCGCGUCGGCCGUGAAAUCUCCACGCUUAACGUGGAGCGUGCGGUCGAUACGGGCAGACUUGAGUUCGGUAGGGGAGACUGGAAUUCCUGGUGUAGCGGUGAAAUGCGCAGAUAUCAGGAGGAACACCGGUGGCGAAGGCGGAUCUCUGGGCCUGUCCUGACGCUGGAGGCGCGAAAGCGUGGGGAGCAAACAGG
rnacentral:rRNA from 1 species